AUGUUGGGUUAAAGUCCCGCAACGAGCGCAACCCUUGUCCUUAGUGCCAGCGAGUGAAGUCGGGAACUCUAAGGAGACUGCCGGUGACAAACCGGAGGAAGGUGGGGAUGACGUCAAGUCAUCAUGGCCCUUACGGCCAGGGCUACACACGUACUACAAUGGUCGGUACAGAGGGCAGCGAGACCGCGAGGUGGAGCCAAUCCCAGAAAACCGAUCUCAGUCCGGAUUGGAGUCUGCAACUCGACUCCAUGAAGUCGGAAUCGCUAGU
rnacentral:rRNA from 1 species